rnacentral:rRNA from 1 species
GAGUUUGAUCGUGGCUCAGAACGAACGCUGGCGGCAUGCCUAACACAUGCAAGUCGAACGAAGGCUUCGGCCUUAGUGGCGCACGGGUGCGUAACGCGUGGGAAUCUGCCCUCUGGUACGGAAUAACUCAGGGAAACUUGAGCUAAUACCGUAUAAUGACUUCGGUCCAAAGAUUUAUCGCCUGAGGAUGAGCCCGCGUAGGAUUGGCUUGUUGGUGAGGUAAAGGCUCACCAAGGCGACGAUCCUUAGCUGGUCUGAGAGGAUGAUCAGCCACACUGGGACUGAGACACGGCCCAGACUCCUACGGGAGGCAGCAGUGGGGAAUAUUGGACAAGUGGGGAAACCCUGAUCCAGCAAUGCCGCGUGAGUGAUGAAGGCCUUAGGGUUGUAAAGCUCUUUUGCCAGGGAAGAUGAUGACUGUACCUGGAGAAUAAGCCCGGCUAACUUCGUGCCAGCAGCCGCUGUAAG